UACCAGCACCCCGAGUGGUCGGGACGAUUAUUGGGCCUAAAGCAUCCGUAGCCGGUUCUACAAGUCUUCCGUUAAAUCCACCUGCUCAACAGUUGGGCUGCGGAGGAUACUAUAGAGCUAGGAGGCGGGAGGAGGGCAAGCGGUACUUAGUGGGUAGGGGUAAAAAUCCGUUGAUCCAUUGAAGACCACCAGUGGCGAAGGCGGCUUGCCAGAACGCACUCGACGGUGAGGGAUGAAAAGCUGGGGGAGCAACCGGGAUUAAGAAAACCCAUUGGUAG
rnacentral:rRNA from 1 species